rnacentral:lncRNA from 1 species
AAAACAGUGCAUAGAGAAUGGUUCCAUUUCAGUAAGGAUCAUCUUCUACGCUUCAUCAUAAUUCUCAAUUUCUCAAGAGUUCUGCAACCUGAGAUGAAUACAGUAGUCCCCUCUUAUCCAUGGGGUAUACUUUCUGAGACCCUCCUCUUAUCCAAGGGGGAUACUUUCUGAGAAUCCCCUCCCCUUAUCCAUGGGGGAUACUUUCUGAGAUUCCCACCCCCCCACCAGUGGAUGCCUGAAACUGCAAUAGUACCGAACUCUGUAUAUACUAUGUUUUUCCCUAUACAUACAUAUCUAUGAUAAAGUUUAAUUUAUAAACUAGGCACAGUAAUAGAGUAACACAAUAAUAAAAUAGAACAAUUAUAACAAUACGCCAGCGUCGCUUCUCUUCUGCUUUGGGGCCACUAUUCAUUCAAGUAAGGGUGACUUGAACCCAAGCACCAUAAUACCACUGCAGUCGAGCUGUUAACCAAGACGAAGUGACUAACGGGCAGGCCGUGUGGCUGAUUCACAUCCCAGGUGGGACGGAGCAGGAUGUGUAAGAUUUCAUUACGCUACUCAAAACGGCAUGCAACUUAACACUUAUAAAAUAUUUAUUUCUGGAAUUUUCCAUUUAAUAUUUUCAGACUGCAGUUGACAGCAGAUAACUGAAAGCUCGGAAAGCGAAACCGUGGAUAAGCAGGGGAACUGUGGCAUCCCAUUUAAAAUUGCUUCUGAAGAGAAGCAUGAGGUUACAUCUGUAAUCUCCCUGCAGCAGAGUCAACUGCAUAAGAAACCAAAAGACACACCUGCUCCAUGCCAGCUUCGAUAAUUUCUUUGUACCUUCGGCGAAAGAAGCCCAUCUGAAAGGCAGAAAGAAAGAGGAGAAGCUGAGUUAGAAGUGCUGAAGAAUCAGCCAUUGUGACCCCAAGGCAGUCUGUCCCUGGGUAGGUGUGACCUGCACUCACAGGGCUGGGGAGGCUUGGAGGACCCCUCGGAUUAGAGAAAACACUGGCAAGAAAAACAUCCGGUGGAGACAUUUUUCAAAAUGCAUGGACUUCCUGCGGGUGAUAUUAGGCUUCUUCACUGUGAGCCAAACAUCCAGGGAAGCAUCACAGCCACCCUGAUGGUCAUAAGCUCCCCUGAAGAAGGGAAGGCAGGUGGACCUGAGGAGCUGUCUGUUGCCACCAUCUUUCUACUUCCCUAAAGGGGGCUUAUUGGCCAAGCCAAAGACGAGAACUGUCAAGAGAGCCAGCAGGUAUCUUCACCCACGUUGCCAAGGAGAUCCUGAGCAUUCACUGUGAGGGGAAGUCGAUAAGGUGGUGCAGUUUGAAUGACUGGGAAAGAGCAGAAGCUUUCUUAGAACAACUGGCAAGAGUCUUGUGUUCUGAGCUUCAAUCCUCAAGGCCAGUUUUGUAAACAGAUAUUGAGUUCCUGGUGAUUUCAGCCCUGGAGGUUUCUUCCCAGCAUAAGACCACAUUCAUCAGAAUGCCACGUUCUGACGCCCCCACACAUAUACUUUUCUCUCCUGAAACCUCUUCACCUUCUCCCCUCUGCAAGAGAUGUGGAAAAGGUGCUUGGCCAGAAUUUUCUGGAUAAUUAAGAAAAAGUCAUAGACAUCAUCCCCACAGCACACCCACAGAAGGCCAGAAAAACGGACCAAGACUGAAUGGAAAUCUAAGAAGCUACUGCUUGAAAUGUCAUUCUUUUGCGAUAAAGGUGUGGUUGGCCAAGAAAACAUGACCAGAUGUGGCUGGUCACAUGCCAUGAAGGAGAAUGUAAUCAUGAAACUGUGGAAGGAUGUAACAGGGAAAUAAGAUUCUCUAGCACAUACCUUUGGCUGCUGAUGUUGUAAUGUGUCAAUAAUCCCAGGUCACUCAGUUGUAAUUCCAGAGAAGUCACAUUUCCCUACCAUGGCACUAUCAAGCAGAAACUUAACAGUCUGCCCUCUUAUUAUCUCCUGCAUUUGUCUUAGGACUCCUUGAAGGCAGGCUUUGUGCUUUCAAUCCCCAGUACUCAGCAUCUCACCUGUCCUUGGUACCAGCGAUAAAUUGCAAAGAUGCCCACAUACCCUCCACACCCUUUACCAUGUGACUCUCCAGCUCUUCCCAUCAUGAGGUGGAGUCUAUUUUCCCAGCCUUGAUUCUCCACUGAGACUAGCUUUGACAAUUGGAUGAGAGGGAGGAGAUGUUGUGUCUGUUACACACUUAGUCCCCAAGGGGCUGUGCACACUUCCAAUUACUUUCUCAGAACCCUGCCCUGCUUCCACACAAAUGCCUUUGUCUAACCUGCUAAGAGACCAGUUUUUUUUUGAAGCCCUCCCAGACUAGCCAACUCCCAGCUGCCCGCAGAGGCUCUUGUAAGUCUCGCUGAGCUCAAACUGCCCCACUGAGCUCAGUCCAAAUAGCCAACCCACAGAACUGUGACCUGCAUAGAUGGAUAUUGCUUUUAAGCCGCUCAAUACUGGGGUGGUUUGUCAUGUAGCAUAAGUUAACUGGUACAGACUCAAUAUUUUUUUUGCUGACUUAAUGAAUCAGACAGACAGCUGAUAGGGCUCUAGAUUUAAACAGCAUCAGUUAGUGUGCCUUGCGGAACUGGACUUUUCACUUUUUUUUUUUUUUUUGAGACAGUGUCUCACUCUGUCACCCAGGCUGGAGUGCAAUGGCAUCAUCUCGGCUCACUGCAACCUCUGCCUCCCAGGUUCAAGUGAUUCUCCUGCCUCAGCCUCUCGAGUAGCUGGGACUGCAGGCAUGUACCACCCUGCCCAGCUAAUUUUCAUAUUUUUAGUAGAGACGGGGUUUCAUCUUGUUGGCCAGGCUGGUCUCAAACUCCUGACAUCAAGUGAUCCGCCUGCCUUGGCUUCCCAAAGCGCUGGGAUUACAGGCGUGAGCCACCGCGCCCGGCCUGAACCAGACUUCUCUUGUUCAUCUCUAAGAGCAAAAGCUGGCUCACUUUCUCAUCACUAUGCUAGUGUAAGGAUUUGAUAUAGACAGUGUGUUAACAAUCUGGAAAGGAUUUAGAGCACCUGAACUCACUCUUACAUGUGGCUUUCAUGUGCUCAAGUUUUUAUGUAUGCAAUUCUUGCUAACAACAAGGUGAAGGCACUGUCAUCUCUUGCAGGCACCCGGAAGCAAGCUUCUUUCUCUCAGUGGAGUGGUGUCAGCAUUAGGCCUGAAAAUCACCCCCACCCACCCCUGGCUGAAACAGCCUUGCAAGCUCUAUGCCCCACUCUAACACUGCAGGGUCUCUAGUCCUGUUCCUAACACAGCCUAUGCGUAAUCUCUUGGAUGGGAGGUCAGAGCUACCAUUGAUGUAUGUCUUCCUUCUUUUUAGAAUCUGAAGACCAUUUCUUAAAACAUAACGCACUCUCAUGGCUAGGGAGUUGUAGGUACAGUAGUGCAGGUGCUACACUGCAUUUAAGGGGCUGGGGGAUACCACUCACAUCACAGAUAUCAUGUAUGUGUAUAAGUUUAUUAUAACUGUUUUCCAACAGAUGGCAGUAGAGUGUCUUGUUCUCAUAAAAUCAGAGUUUUCUGAAUUUUUUCUGACAGACGGAAGUAAAGAGUCUUUAGGAAGGGGUGCUAUUUACUAUUAUAGUUUGCACAAAGGUACCCUAUAGUCUAGUGGUGGCUCUGUCAAACUAAUAUUGUUUCUUUUUUUGGGGGGUGGGGGAUGGAGUCUUGCUCUGUUGCCAGGCUGGAGUGCAGUGGCACGAUCUCGGCUCAUUGCAACCUCCGCCUCUCGGGUUCAAGCGAUUCUCCUGCCUCAGCCUCCCAAGUAGCUGGAAUUACAGGUCUGCACCACCAGGCCUGGCUAAUUUUUAUAUUUUGGUAGAGAUGGGGUUUCACCAUGUUGGCCAGGCUGAUCUUGAACUCCUGACCUCAGAUGAUCCGCCUGCCUUGGCCUCCCAAAGUGCUGGGAUUACAGGUGUGAGCCACCGCGCCCAGCCUGGGAAGGUUAUUUUCUGGCUUCGAGCCAUAGUGUCUUCGUCUCUGCCUAAGAGAUCAAUGGGAUUCUCAGACCUCUUCCAGCCCUGAAACAUCAUGACAGCUUUUUCUGUUUUCCCCAAAGUGAAUUCAAGGCUCUAGACUGUGGGCCACACAGCUGGGUACUCAGGACUCACACUAAGGGGGAACAAGGCACAGUCUUUG